CAGAGACGCAGAGUGAUGGAUCCUCUGGGGAGUCAGAGGCAGGAGGCUUAAAUGAAUGAUGAUCAGACAGGAUUCUUCUCAUUAGCAACACACCUCUGCUGUGAGAGGGGGCGGAGCCUCAGGUGGGUCCGGUCCAAGUUCUGGAGAAUCGGGUCCAGUUCGUUCCGACUCGGUUUGUGUGAACAGAAGGAGAAGCAAAGAUCUGAUCAGUGUAAGUUGAUCAUUCUCCAUUUGAUGAGACCUGAAACUUUUUCACCUCACCCCGCAUGAGGACAUAAAAUGGAAGUCUGUAUUUAGUUUGUACUCAACUUAGCGAAGGGGCUAGUUGCUCACAAAGGCUGCACUCUAUCUGGUCCGCACAACUAAAGGGCACCAGCACAAAUCGGUGUGUUGCAAAAUCAGCAGGAAAAUGUCCAGAGUAUGCAAAGCAGUGCUCAAC